rnacentral:lncRNA from 1 species
UUUUUUUUUUUUUUUUUUGCUUGUAGGUUCUACAAACAUGAAUCCUUUACAUUCUGGUUUGGUUAUUUGUGGUCUUUUCUUUUACUUUCUUGUUUAAUUUUGCCAGUGAUCUAUCAUUUAUGCUAGUUGUUUUUAAAGAUCCAGUAUUUGACUUUGUUGAUUUCCUUUAUUGCACGUUGCUUUCUAUUUCAUUUAUUUAUGCUCUUAUUUUUAUUCAUUCCUCCCUUCCACUUUGCGUUUAAUUUGCUGUUCUUCGAAUGGUUUCUUUGACCCAAAUCUUUAACAUUCAGUUCUUUUCUUUUCUAUGAAUUUUCCUUUGAACACUAUUUCUGCAGCACCCUACCGGUUUUAAUGUAGUGUAUCUUUGUAUCUUUCCAUUUAAAAUGUUGCUUAAUACUCAUUGUGAUUUUUUAUUUGAAUAAUGGUUUAAAAAUGCAGUAUUUAAUUUCUAAGCAGUGGGGGACAUUUAUAAUUACUUAUUUUAUUAAUUUUUAGCUUAAUUUAACCAUGGUCAGUGAAAAUACUCUGCAUGAUUUUCAUCUUUGGAAAUAUGUUGAGACAUUCUUUUGGCCCAACAUAUAAUCAAUAUUGGUAAACGUUUCAAGUGAACUUGAAAAGAUUGUAAAUUAUUUUGUUGUGGCAGCUAUACCACUUUUCUUUUGGUUAAAGUUAGUAUAGCACUAUUUAUACUCUAUUCCUACCAUCAAAUUUCUGUUUGAGUUUUGAUGAGUGUCUAAAGUAAUCAACAUAUUUUUUCCAGUCUGACAAUCUUAGUCUUUUACAAAAAAUGUGUAAUCAAUUUAAUUUCAUGUGAUAUAGUUGGGUGUAUAUCUAUAAUCUACUGACUGUUUUCUAUUAGCUCUUUGUUUUUUGUCUUCUUCCCUGUCAUUUUCCCUUGGAUUAAUUCAUUUUUAAAGAAAUUUUCUGGUAUUAACUUCUUAAGUACAUAUUUUUACUAGUUUUUCAUUGUUAUUUUAGUAACUAUAAUUUGCAUCCUAGAUUAUCACAGUCGAAUAAGAAAAUUACUCUUAGUCCUUUCACAAUCAUGGUAGAAAUUAAGGACACUUUAGCUUCCUUUACUGCUUUCCCACUUUUUAGUCUUAAUCGUGCUCUUCAUUCCUCUUCAUAAGUCCGCAUCACCAAGUAUGUAAUUCACUUCUUCCUACAGAACUACAUUGAGUAUUUAUUUUCCUUUGACCUGCUUAGGAAAUGUUCUCUCAGUUAUUGUUUUACUGUAAACAUCUUUAUUUUUUACAGGAUAUUUUCAUUGACUUACUCUAUUUUACAUUGUCAUUUUAAAAAUGUUAUUCCAUUUUCUUCUGGCUUUCAUUGUUUUCUUGUGGUCUUCAUUGUCACUUGUUUGAAAUAAAUGUGUUUAUUCUUGCUGG